rnacentral:rRNA from 1 species
UGUGCAAAGGUAGCAUAAUCAUUAGUCUUUUAAUUUGGGACUGGAAUGAAUGGUUUAACUAAAUAUUCAUGUCUUAUUACUAUAUUUCAAAUUUUAUAUUUUAGUAAAAAAGCUAAAAUAAAUGUUAAAGACAAAAAGACCCUAUUAAACUUUAUAAUUGUAAUUUAAUAUCAACAUAAAUUAAAAAUUAUUUUACUGGGGCAGUAAAUAAAUAAAAUUUUAUUUUAAUAAUGUGAAUACAAUUCUUGAAAAAUCAAAAAAUCUUUAAAAAGGAAUAAGUUACUAUAGGGAUAACAGCAUUAUUUUCUUAAAGAGUUCUUAUCUCAAGAAAGUUUGUGACCUCGAUGUUGGAUUAAGAAACCUUUUUCAUGCAAUAAUAAAAUUAAGGAAGUCUGUUCGACUUUUAAAUUCUUCCAUGAUCUGAGUUCAAAUCG